CGCCCUUAGAGUUUGAUCCUGGCUCAGGACGAACGCUGGCGGCGCGCCUAACACAUGCAAGUCGAACGAGCGAGAGAGAGCUUGCUUUCUCAAGCGAGUGGCGAACGGGUGAGUAACGCGUGAGGAACCUGCCUCAAAGAGGGGGACAACAGUUGGAAACGACUGCUAAUACCGCAUAAGCCCACGGCUCGGCAUCGAGCAGAGGGAAAAGGAGCAAUCCGCUUUGAGAUGGCCUCGCGUCCGAUUAGCUAGUUGGUGAGGUAAUGGCCCACCAAAGCGACGAUCGGUAGCCGGACUGAGAGGUUGAACGGCCACAUUGGGACUGAGACACGGCCCAGACUCCUACGGGAGGCAGCAGUGGGGAAUAUUGCACAAUGGGGGAAACCCUGAUGCAGCGACGCCGCGUGGAGGAAGAAGGUCUUCGGAUUGUAAACUCCUGUUGUUGAGGAAGAUAAUGACGGUACUCAACAAGGAAGUGACGGCUAACUACGUGCCAGCAGCCGCGGUAAAACGUAGGUCACAAGCGUUGUCCGGAAUUACUGGGUGUAAAGGGAGCGCAGGCGGGAAGACAAGUUGGAAGUGAAAUCCAUGGGCUCAACCCAUGAACUGCUUUCAAAACUGUUUUUCUUGAGUAGUGCAGAGGUAGGCGGAAUUCCCGGUGUAGCGGUGGAAUGCGUAGAUAUCGGGAGGAACACCAGUGGCGAAGGCGGCCUACUGGGCACCAACUGACGCUGAGGCUCGAAAGUGUGGGUAGCAAACAGGAUUAGAUACCCUGGUAGUCCACACUGUAAACGAUGAUUACUAGGUGUUGGAGGAUUGACCCCUUCAGUGCCGCAGUUAACACAAUAAGUAAUCCACCUGGGGAGUACGACCGCAAGGUUGAAACUCAAAUGAAUUGACGGAAG
rnacentral:rRNA from 1 species